rnacentral:rRNA from 1 species
UACAGAGGGUGCAAGCGUUAAUCGGAAUUACUGGGCGUAAAGGGCGCGUAGGUGGAUAUUUAAGUGAGAGGUGAAAUCCCCGGGCUUAACCUGGGAACUGCCUCUUAUACUGGGUAUCUGGAGUGUGGUAGAGGGUAGUGGAAUUUCCGGUGUAGCGGUGAAAUGCGUAGAUAUCGGAAGGAACACCAGUGGCGAAGGCGGCUACCUGGACUAACACUGACACUGAGGCGCGAAAGCGUGGGGAGCAAACAGG